UACGUAGGCAGCAAGCGUUGUUCGGAGUUACUGGGCGUAAAGGGUGCGUAGGUGGCUCUAUAAGUAUGGUGUGAAAUCUCCCGGCUUAACUGGGAGGGUGCGCCGAAUACUGAGAGGCUAGAGUGUGGGAGAGGAAAGUGGAAUUCCUGGUGUAGCGGUGAAAUGCGUAGAUAUCAGGAGGAACACCGGUGGUGUAAACGGCUUUCUGGACCAUAACUGACGCUGAUGCACGAAAGCGUGGGUAGCAAACAGG
rnacentral:rRNA from 1 species